rnacentral:rRNA from 1 species
GUGGGGAAUUUUGGACAAUGGGCACAAGCCUGAUCCAGCAAUGCCGCGUGCAGGAAGAAGGCCUUCGGGUUGUAAACUGCUUUUGUACGGAACGAAAAGGCUCUGGUUAAUACCUGGGGCUCAUGACGGUACCGUAAGAAUAAGCACCGGCUAACUACGUGCCAGCAGCCGCGGUAAUACGUAGGGUGCAAGCGUUAAUCGGAAUUACUGGGCGUAAAGCGUGCGCAGGCGGUUUUGUAAGACAGACGUGAAAUCCCCGGGCUCAACCUGGGAAUGGCGUUUGUGACUGCAAAGCUGGAGUGCGGCAGAGGGGGAUGGAAUUCCGCGUGUAGCAGUGAAAUGCGUAGAUAUGCGGAGGAACACCGAUGGCGAAGGCAAUCCCCUGGGCCUGCACUGACGCUCAUGCACGAAAGCGUGGGGAGCAAACAGGAUUAGAAACCCUAGUAGUCC